CGACGGAGUGCUCCAGCUCGUGCCGUGCUCCGAGGCUGCUCUGACAGAGCUGCAGGAAGAGCUGACAAAACCACGUGCAGUCCUAAGUGCGCAGUACAGCCCCAACUGACAUCACCUACAACCGUUCCCCUGAAAGAUUAAGACUGAUACAAGAUGACAUGUUGGAAGAUGCUUUCAAAAAAUUUUCACAAGAUCUUCUGUAAAUGGAGAUGAACACCAAGCUAGACCUUCUGUGGGUGGCAAAACCAAACCAAACAUUGCAAGAGCUCCCUGGCAGAGUGCAGCUGGUUGUCACACGGAGCUUCUGAGAGACAUUUGACACCACUGACUUCUCUGGAGCAACAACUUCAUCCUCUGUGUGGGAGCGGAGUGGCUGAAGAAGAAAGAAUUGACAUACACGAAGUGCCUUGGACAAGCUUGCAGUUCAGAUAAACCAAAUCUCACUCAAACACUCUGCUACUGGACCCAGCAGAAGACAGUGUGCUGUUGAUGUAAAAGGAAUACACCUGCUUUAAUACAUAAAGAACACACCUAUUUCAACCUUCACUCCUAAAGCAAAGCAGUCUUUAGUUCCUGGUGUUUUCUUCAAUGUAAAUUCAAGGUACAAAAAAGGUCAUAACUUUGCAGAAUGGCAGACACUUACUGUGAACCCUCCCCUUUUCCAGACCACAUUUAACCCACAGUCUGUUUCCUCUCCUUAGCAAUCACACUUUUUGUCAUCUGUGGUCCCUAGAUACCUACAGAUUAGUCUUCCUAUGUGCCAGUGCUGAGCAGUAAAGCACCUCAGCAGUCUCACUUUAGUGCCUGGUAAAAUUAUGGAGACUAAUCUGUGAGUUGUUGAAGAGCACUUGGAAGACAAGGUUUGUGAGGGAAA